UAUGAAGGGGGCUAGCGUUGUUCGGAUUUACUGGGCGUAAAGCGCACGUAGGCGGCUUGUUAAGUCGGGGGUGAAAUCCUGGAGCUCAACUCCAGAACUGCCUUCGAUACUGGCAAUCUAGAGUCCGGAAGAGGUGAGUGGAACUCCUAGUGUAGAGGUGGAAUUCGUAGAUAUUAGGAAGAACACCAGUGGCGAAGGCGGCUCACUGGUCCGGUACUGACGCUGAGGUGCGAAAGCGUGGGGAGCAAACAGG
rnacentral:rRNA from 1 species